AGGGAAUCUUCCGCAAUGGACGAAAGUCUGACGGAGCAACGCCGCGUGAGCGAAGAAGGUCUUCGGAUCGUAAAGCUCUGUUGUUAGGGAAGAACAAGUACCGGAGUAACUGCCGGUACCUUGACGGUACCUAUCAUAGAAAGCCACGGCUAACUACGUGCCAGCAGCCGCGGUAAUACGUAGGUGGCAAGCGUUGUCCGGAUUUAUUGGGCGUAAAGCGCGCGCAGGCGGUCCUUUAAGUCUGAUGUGAAAUCUUGCGGCUCAACCGUAAGCGGUCAUUGGAAACUGGGGGACUUGAGUGCAGGAGAGGAAAGCGGAAUUCCACGUGUAGCGGUGAAAUGCGUAGAGAUGUGGAGGAACACCAGUGGCGAAGGCGGCUUUCUGGCCUGUAACUGACGCUGAGGCGCGAAAGCGUGGGGAGCAAACA
rnacentral:rRNA from 1 species